CGCGUAGGCGGCGCCGGAAGUCGCGUGUGAAAGCCCCGGGCUCAACCUGGGAGGUGCGCGCGAGACUGUGGUGCUGGAGUUCGGGAGAGGAGCGUGGAAUUCCCAGUGUAGAGGUGAAAUUCGUAGAUAUUGGGAAGAACACCGGUGGCGAAGGCGGCGCUCUGGACCGAGACUGACGCUGAGGCGCGAAGGCGUGGGGAAGCAAACAG
rnacentral:rRNA from 1 species